UGGUGGAGUGAUUUGUCUGCUUAAUUGCGAUAACGAACGAGACCUUAACCUGCUAAAUAGCCCGGCUCGCCUUGGCGGGUCGCCGGCUUCUUAGAGGGACUAUCGGCUCAAGCCGAUGGAAGUUUGAGGCAAUAACA
rnacentral:rRNA from 1 species